rnacentral:lncRNA from 1 species
AAAAUUAAUCUUGAAGGAGCUAUUUCAAUAAGCACAUUUAUAUCCUAUCUGAUAGUCAGGCUGUUCUUAAAACACUUGAUAGCUCCUGCUUUACUUCUAACCUUGUAUGGGAUUGUUGUCUUCUCAUUGAGGAACUGGCUACCAGGAACAGGGUGCAACUUGUUUGGGUGCUGGGGCACAAGGGAUUGAAAGCAAUGAGGUUGCUGAUGGGUUUGCCAAGGAAGAGGCUUCUCAUCUCUAUAUUGGACUUGAGUCUGCUCUGGGCAUCAGAUUUGAUGCAUUUGGAUGGGUUGUCAGGGACUGGUUGAUAACUCAGCACUUCAUAUUCUGGAAGUCUACUCCUGGACUUAUGCAGGUGAAAGCUCUCAUUUCAAGUUCUUCUCUGUACAGAGAACUAGAGAGUUACUUUCACUCCAUAAGAAUGAAGUUAGGAUUAUUAUGGGACUCCUUACAGGGCACUGUCAUCUUAAUAGGCAUCUUCAUUUAAUUGUGAUUGUUAAUA